GAUGAACGCUAGCUACAGGCUUAACACAUGCAAGUCGAGGGGAAACGAUAUUGGAAGCUUGCUUCUGAUAGGCGUCGACCGGCGCACGGGUGAGUAACGCGUAUCCAACCUGCCCAUCACUUGGGGAUAACCUUGUGAAAGUAAGACUAAUACCCAAUGACGUCUCUAGAAGACAUCUGAAAGAGAUUAAAGAUUUAUCGGUGAUGGAUGGGGAUGCGUCUGAUUAGCUUGUUGGCGGGGUAACGGCCCACCAAGGCGACGAUCAGUAGGGGUUCUGAGAGGAAGGUCCCCCACAUUGGAACUGAGACACGGUCCAAACUCCUACGGGAGGCAGCAGUGAGGAAUAUUGGUCAAUGGACGAGAGUCUGAACCAGCCAAGUAGCGUGCAGGAAGACGGCCCUAUGGGUUGUAAACUGCUUUUAUAAGGGAAUAAAGUGAGUCUCGUGAGACUUUUUGCAUGUACCUUAUGAAUAAGGACCGGCUAAUUCCGUGCCAGCAG
rnacentral:rRNA from 1 species